rnacentral:lncRNA from 1 species
CUAACCCCACAUAUUAUAUCUACCUAUUGUACCCACUUACCACACACCCCAUCAUAUUUUUGUCUCUUAAAAACCCUUAGCACUUUUAUCUUUAUCUCACCUCUCACUAUGGAGAGAACUCAGCUGCCUGCCCUCUUCUCUCUAUACUCGGGCGAUUUUCGGCCACCACGCUGCCGUCAAAUUUCAUCACCGACGGCCAGCGACUCCUCCUUCCCCGCUUCCUGUUUCCCCGCUUCUCUUUAUCUUUUUCUCUACUCGCUUAGGUUCUGCCGUCAAUCAUCACCGGUCGUUGCCGCUGGAGGUGGUGACCAGCCAGGCGGCGACCACUGUUUCUCUCACCUCCCUGUCAAACGCCGGUGACCCCAUUAAAACUGGUCGAUUUGAAGUUUGAGGCUUAAGAUGUGUGCAGAUCUGGCCGGAUUUAUUCCAUCUCCGACGACUCGUGUUCCUUAUCAUUUUCUUGUGCUUAUUCGAUGGUUAUUAGCUCAGAUCCGGUUUCGUUUUGGAGAAAUAUGGAUAGAACAGAUUUUUCGGCGACCUUCGUGUACUGUUGUAGACCGUUUUGUUUUACUGGACUGGUCAUCUUCAUUUUAAAUCUGCUAUAGCUUUGAUGUUUUUGUUAUGUUCUUCUGAUGACCUCUACUAUUGUCUCUCGUUAUUGUCAGAUUUUCGAUUUGAGGGAUGUUGACUCUGUUACUGUUUUAUUUUUAGCUUAAUCUUGUGCCUAUCACAUUUUCUGGCUGCCUGCAUAUUUCCAGUGGAUAACUUCGUUCCUUUACUGCGUUAUGCUACUGCUGCUCUGUUGCUUGUAUGCGUACUGUUGUUGCUAUUUUGGGGACUGUUAAUGUUGUCCAAAAGAUAAUUGGCUUAAGGCCAUGGUCUCGUCUUGUUUGCUGCAUCGUCGGAAAUACGGUUCUGGUACUAUCUUGAGGCCGUUUCUUGGAGUUGUUUUUAACUAUGGGACUUUUCAAUAUUUCUUGCUCAUUUGCUAUAGCUUGCUGCUGCUUUUAUUUCAGUUAUUUUACAACACUACUAAAAUUAACCAUGGGCAGGCUUUGAAUUUGGAAAAAGGAAAAUACUUACCUUUGGCCUCAUUGUUAUACGGGAAAAGACAUAUGUUUAAGGCCCGUAAAUGAUAUUCUGGUGGGGAAUAUUUCGUGAUGGUAAACAAUGUUGCAAUGACUGGCCAAUGAGAAUUAUUAUUUUUGAGGUCAGGACGCCCCGAAUGACCCUCCGGAAUGAGCCCAAAAUAACGAAAAUAACGAAGUGAUAAUGAUAAAUGUCAGAAAAGAAAAUUGACGAGAACACGAGCCAACCUAUGGGAGGCAACACGGUUGGCCACCGAGGUUUCUACCGAGGCAGUUUUUACUCUCAUAUCUAGAUGGAUAUCGGAUAUUACAUGUAUUUGAGCCUUUUAUAUUAUUUGUUAAAACUAUUUUCCCAAAUUAUUUUCCAAAAAAAAAAAAAAUUUAAAGUAAUCUUUCAAAAACCAAAAAAUAUUUUCUUAAAUCAUUUUCUAAAACAAAUUCCAAAAACAUUUUAAAAUUAUUUUCUAAAACAAUUCCAAAAAACAUUUCAAUUUAUUUCCAAAAAAUAAAAACAAUUUUUUACAAAAGUAUUUUCAAGUAAAAUCAUUUCAAAAAAAAUAAGUUUAUUGUUUACUUUAUGUUUUACUAACAAUUUUAUUUCUUUUCUCUUGCGAGGUACUAUCACAUGGAAUCGCUUUCGGAAUAUGACACUGGAAGCCAAAAAGGACAAAUGUUAAGCUUCUCGCUUCGUAACUUCAGUUCUUGGAUGUACAAAAUGCAAGUAUAGUGAAAUUAUAGAUAUCGUAUUUGUUAGUUUACUUUGAUAUUGUUUAUUUGCUAAACACUUAGGGAAUUGUAUCUAGUUAAUAAUCAGAGUAACUAGCAAUAUUGUAUGUCAAAUAAUUCUUGAAGUGUGUAUGAGAUGUUGAAUAUAAUUUUAUAAUGUGAUUAACUAAUUUAGGAUCGGUGUAUACCUAACUAAUUAGAUUAGUCAUAUCCAUAAAAAUAAAAAUAUGUCAUUUUCUUGCAAAAAUAAAAUAAAUAAUCUUGUCUUUGUCUUAAAUUAUAUGAGUACCUUUCCGAGCCACUUUAUAUGUAAAUUGUUCUUUAAUUGAUACACUUUCAAUGACCAUAAUUGUAAAGAAAUUGUAAUUGAAUUAUUGCACUUCUGUUGAAAGACUUAGGCCUUGUAGUCAUUUAUGUUUGGCUCGUAUGAGUUGCGUUUCAAUACCUUGUGUGAUGGCCCGAACGGUCGUUUUGAGAGAAUUAGCCCAGAACCCCUAUUUAUUGCUUCCUCCAUUUCAUUUUUGGGUUUUGUGACUUGCCGAGAGGAUUUGAUUUUGGUUUCGGAGUGAAAUGGGACACAUAGUCCCUAAAAUGGAAGCUUAAGUCAUAAGGAUUGACCGUAAUUCAAACUCUGUGAAGACGACUCCGGAAUGGAGUUUUGGCGGUUCCUAUAGCUCAGUAGGGUGAUUUUGGUCUUAGGAGCAUGUUCGGAUGUUGAAUUUGAGGUCCGUCGUCAAUUAGCGAAAGUUGAAAAAUUGGAUGAUUUUUAGAAAGUUUGACCGGGAGUGGACUUUUUGAUUUCGGGGUCGGAUUCCAAUUUCGAAAGUUGGAGUAAGUCUGUAAUGUCAAAAGGGACUUGGUGCAUGGCUGAAGCAGGACUCUGCUGGUGUAACCGCACCUGCGGAGCUUUGAUCGCAGGUGCGGGCCGGGUUGCAUAGAUGCGAAUGUUUGGACAGGCGGUUGUGGAGCGUAGGUGCGGAGGGUGUUCCACAGGUGUGUACUCGCACUUGCUCUUGGAGGGUCGCAGAAGCGGACACGGGAGUUUGAGGCUGGCCCGCGGAAGCGAGUUUUGUUGCGCAGAAGCGCGCCCGCAGAUUGAAGGUUAUGUAAGGCCUCAUAAAAUUUUUUCCUAAAAACUCGGGUUCCAUGAUGCCAAAGUAUGCGUAAAGGUUAAUAAUAGUAGAAAUUCUUCACGGCGAGCAAGCUCGCCAUGGUUCGGACUUUUUGGAUUGAACAGUGCGCUGGGAGUUGAAGGAAAAUGUUGGGCAGAAGUACGCAUUUUUGCGGCUGCAGAACUACUCUGUAGACCGCAGACUGGUCGCAGAGUGAGGCAGCUUUCUGGGGCAUUUUUGAUGCCCAAUUUCGCGGCCAUUAUGCGACCGCAUAUCCGUUUCGCGGGCCGCAUUCUUGUUGCAUAUCUCGCCUUGGGAUUUUUCGGAGGAAGGUUCUGCGGUGCACUAUGCGACCGCAGAUCCGUUCUGCAGUGCAUUAUGCGACCACAGAACAGGUCUGCGAGCCGCAUAAUGACCGCAUACCAGAUUAGUUCCUUUCCAGUUCUGGUCCUCAUUUUCGCGGUCAUUUCACGAAUCGCAUAACUAUUAUGCGGUCGCAUAUACGAUCGCAGAAUCCGUUCCGGAGCUUCAUUUAUGAAAAUUUUAAAUCCGACCCUAUUCCGUUAAAACACACCCCAUAGACCAUUUUGAGCACAUUUCUGAUAUUUUAGAGUAAGAGGGAGAGUUCUUAGAGUGGGGGAGCAAUCUUUAACCAUUAUCCAUCAAUAUUUGCUCAAUCAUUGAGGAUUAACAAAGGGAGUCUUCACCCUAAAGGUAAGAAUCUAUGUCCUAGUUCUCAAUUUCGAAAUUUUGCAAAAAAUGGGUUAAUUAGAGGAAAUUAUUGGGUGUGGAGGUUGUUAUCUUGCAUGCAUGUAUCCUUGAAGUAUGUGGGAAGAUUGUGAGCUAAAAAUGGCAGAGAGUGGGUUGGGAAAUGAUGGAAUCUUUCACAAGAAGGGGCUUAAAACAUUGAUGCACACCUAGUGUUUGCUAAUAUGCUCGAAUGAGCUAAAACAAUGUCCAUCUUUCUUAUUUUGGUCCAACUUGUUAUAUUUCUAAAAUAGAUUGAAGUAGCUAAGAAUUCCGGAUCAUUUUAGAGUUUGAGAAGCUCAAUUGAGGUAUGUUGGCUAAACCCCCUUCUUCUUAGAAUCGAACCCCACCAUGUUCAUGUAAUUGGAGUAAGCCCUUGAUUGUUAUAGAAUUGGCAAUUUCUAUGUGUUUGUGUUGAAGGAUGUAAGUUUAAUCUUUGUUCUAAAUGCGUCAUCAUGUUAUAUUAUUAUGUGAGGAUAUGUUCAAAAUGUGAAAUAUGUUCUAGCAAAGUUAAGACUUCAUGUCAUGACCAAAAUAAAGGUUGUUAUGCCAAACUGUAUGAAAACCCUCUAUGUGCCUAAGACUCCUAAAUUGCUCAUAUGUGAAUUUAACAUCUUGAAUGGUAAGCCUUAUUGUCAUUGAUAAUAAUAAUUUUGGAAUGCGGAAAAGAACUUGAAUUAUGAAAUACUGUCUAGCUCCAAGAAUAACUUUAUAAUUGGGGCCACUCGCGCCAUUGUAUUGAAAGUAUGGGAAAGAAAUAUGAAUUGAGAUGACUAAUCGAAUAUGGGUGAUGUCUCAAACGAGAUGGCCUAGUCGAUCGGGCCGAGAUCGGACUCCGUGUAGUAACACGGUGGUAUUGUAGAUGAAAUUGUGAAAAUGGUUGAUGUCUCAAAUGAGAUAGCCUAGCCGAUCGGGCCGUGAUCGGAUGCCAUGCCGCACACAUAGUAGAACUGUGCUGAAAAUUAUAAUAAAAUUGUGGUAAUGUCUCAAAUGAGAUGGCCCAGCCGAUCGGGCCGAGAUCGGACUCAGUGUAAGAAUACAGAGGUAUUGUGAAUUGUGGAAUAUCGGUACUAAAGGUCACCCAACCUAAUAAUAUGAAAAUUGUCUUGAAAACGAAUAUGAUCCUUAACUUAUUGUUUUACUAUUAUUUGAAGCCCUUAUUGAAUUCUUGACUGUUCCUCUUGUAUUAUUAUUCGUUCUAUUGAGUUGGUGUUUAGCUUUACAUACUAGUGCUAUUCGACGGUACUAACGUCCCUUUUGCCGGGGACGCUGUAUCUUUAAAUAGAUGCAGGUGGUUACAUAGCAGAUAUCUCUAAUCACAGAUAGUGCUGCAUCCUCUUCUCAGCGGACUAGGUGAGCCCCAUUUCAUUUCGGGGUUUGUAUUGUACAUUUUAUUUAUAUUAUGGUCACUUUUUGAGGUAUAGCCUGAGCCUUGUUGUCGGCACCAUCUUUACUCUCUUUUAUAUCUUUAGAGGCUCCGUAGACACUAUGUGGUUUGUGUAUGGGUAUUGGGAAUAUUAAACAAGUAUAUGUUGUAUUGAUCACUUGUUCCUCUCAGACUUUAAGAAAUGUGUAUUUUGAGACUUAAAGGCGCAAUGACUAAUGAAACGAUUUAGGAUUGUAUGAAUGAGCUUCCUACGAUAUAAUUAAUGAAAUCACAUCUUUUCUUGAUCAUGGGUUAAUUGGGUAGAAAGUAUCUAACAGGCUCAUUCGGUUGAGCGUCGGUCGUGCCUCCUGAGGAUGAGGCGUGACAAACUUGGUAUCAGAGCCUAAAGUUUUUAAGUGUCCUAGGAUGUCUCGGAGCCAUGUCUGGUAGAGUCCUUCUUAUCGGUGUGUUGUCGACCACAUCUAUAAGUUGGAGGCUACUUGGACAUUUAGGAAUAAUACCCUUGUUUGAUAUUCUGGAUCGUGCGAUGAAACUAAUUGUGCAACUGUUCCUUUCCUUUAAGUUUCAGUAUAUGGCACCUAAGAAAAGAGAAAGAACUGGCCAUGGAGCCAACGCCGCCUUAGGAGUGGCAGUUGACCCUUUAUUUGAUGAUGCGGGUGAACACCCGAGGGGUAAGGAUAAUACCCCGACUGUUACACUACUUGAUUCUACUACACCGGCCCAGGCCAUACCAGUUCCUACACCUACUGAAGGUGUGACGGUUCCUACACCUGAUAUUCCGAUUCCACCUCCAGCCCUAGCUUCCGGCUCUGGUAUUUUUGAUGGGGAUCUUAGGGGAGCUAUUCAGAUGCUGACUCAAAUAGUGGCUUUUCAUGCCUAAAGGUCGAAUGUUGCACCACAUUUUCUAGCCAAAAAGGGGAUUCUAGUGGUUCCAGGGUGAACAUGUUUCUGCAGUUGGAUCCUUCGGUGUUCACGGGUACUAAUCCCGAGGAGGACCAACAGGACUUCAGUGAUGAGAUGCAUAAGACUCUCCGGGUUAUGCGCGCUACUAAGACGGAGGGAAUGGAGUUGGCCGCCUACCGCCUGAAAGGGGUUGCCUAUUCUUGGUUUGAGCUGUGGAAGGACUCUCGGGAGGAGGGGAGCCCUCCAGCGAGAUGGAGUGAGUUUUCUGAUGCCUUUAUAGACUAUUUCUUGCCUGCCGAUACUAGGGUAGCCCAUGCCGCAGAGUUUGAGAAUCUUAAGAAAGGGAGUAGGAGUGUGUGAGAGUAUCACAUAGAGUUCGUGCUCCUGUCAAAAUAUGCUAUUCACAUGUUUCCUACUAUGGAGGCUAGAGUGCGCCGGUUUGUGCAGGGCCUUAACCCCUUAGUUAUCAAUGAGACCGCUACAGCUGCCUUGAAUUCAGACAUGAACUAUGGGAAAAUGGAAGCAUUUGCUCAAGCUACAGAGGACCGCAAGUUGAAGAAAAGGAGGGAGAGAGGGUACCAGCAAGGCCCGGUCCGCGGGCAACUUUGGGGAGUCAUUUGGUGGGGGGAGAUCAGCUUCAGGGGAGGGUCAUCAGGGCCAACCCACUCUCAUGCUCAGUCUUCAGCUAGUGCAGCGCCAGCGGGGCACAGUCAGCAGCAGGGGAGUCAUUUCAGGCCCAAUCAUGGCAGCAGGGGACCCCACCAUUAGGGCCGAUCAGUGGGAAGAUGCACUCGGGGAUUUGCUACAUGGACUUAUCUAUAUGUUACGGAUGCGGAUUGAGGGGUCAUAUUCAGAGGGAGUGCCGUUCAUCCCGCCAGGGUGCGGACAGGGGCACAACACAUCCAUCCAGUUCUGCGGCUGCUACAUCUUUAGCACCCCCUCCAGCUCGAGGCCCUCCGGCCCAAGCAUGGCGUAGUGCAGCUAGGGGUGGUGCGCAGAGUUCAGGAGGACCCAGCCGAUUCUAUGCUAUGAGCGGUCGCCAGAAUGCAGAGGCUUCUCUAGAUGUUGUCACGGGUACAUUGACUGUCCAAACUCAUGAUGUAUAUACUCUUAUUUAUCCCGUUUCCACCUUGUCUUAUGUUACCCCUUAUGUUGCUAUGGAAUUUGGGAUAGAACCGGAAUAACUUCCUUAGCCGUUCUCUGUAUCUACUCUGGUUGGCAAGUCUAUUGUGGUCGCACAAGUUUAUAGGAGUUGUGUUAUCACGGUGCGUGGUCGGGACAUCGUGGCCGAUCUCAUUAAAUUGGGGAUGGUUGAUUUUGAUGUAAUUGUGGGAAUGGAUUGGCUUUAUUCAUGUUUUGCUAAGCUCGACUGCCAAACUAGAACUGUGAGGUUUGAAUUUCCUACUGAACCAGUUGUUGAAUGGAAGGGGGGUAAUGUGAUGCCAAAAGGUAGGUUUAUUUCUUACCUUAAAGCCACAAAGAGGAUCAACAAGGGGUGUAUCUAUCACUUGGUCCGGGUUACGGACACCGAUGCUGAGGCACCUACACUCGAGUCAGUGCCAAUUGUGAAUGAAUUUUUGGAGGUCUUUCCUGAUGAGCUCUCUGGGAUUCCGCCAGACAGGGAGAUUGAUUUUGGGAUUGAUAUGAUGCCAGGCAUACAACCUAUAUCUAUUCCUCCCUACAGGAUGGCACCAGCAGAAUUGAAGGAACUAAAGGAACAAUUGAAGGAUUUGUUAGAAAAGUGUUUCAUCCGACCGAGUGUGUCGCCUUGGGGCGCACCGGUCCUUUUUGUAAGAAAGAAGGAUGGGUCACUAAGAAUGUGUAUCGACUAUCGACAACUUAAUAAAGUCACAAUCAUAAACAAAUACUUGCUACCAAGAAUAGAUGAUUUGUUUGAUUAGUUACAAGGUGCUAGAUACUUCUCCAAAAUUGAUUUACGAUUCGGGUAUCACCAAUUGAAGAUCAGGGAGCAGGAUAUUCAGAAAACAGCUUUCAGAACACGGUAUGGGCACUUUGAAUUUCUGGUAAUGUUUUUGGGCUAACAAAAGCCCCUGCAACUUUCAUGGAUCUUGUGAAUCGGGUUUUCAAGCCUUUCCUCGACUCCUUUGUGAUAGUGUUCAUUGGCGAUAUUCUUGUGUAUUCACGAGGUCGGAAGGACCAUGCCGAUCAUCUCAGGGCAGUUUUGCAGACUCUUCAUCAGCACCAAUUGUAUGCGAAGUUUUUAAAAUGUGAAUUUUGGCUAGAAUCUGUCACAUUCUUGGGUCAUGUUGUCUCUAGAGAAGGAAUCAAGGUUGAUCCUCAAAAGAUUCAGCAGUAAAGAAUUAGCCCAGACCUACAAUGCCAACCGAGAUUCGCAGUUUUUUGGGCUUAGCAAGGUAUUACAGGAAGUUUGUAGAGGGGUUCUCUACUCUUGCCUCUCCAUUGACUAAAUUGACUCAGAAGGCAGUUAAGUUCCAAUGGUCCGAUGCUUGUGAAAGGAGCUUCCAGGAGUUGAAAUCGAAAUUGACUACGCGCCGGUGUUGACCCUGCCAGAGGAUACAUGAGUGUUUGUGGUAUAUUGUGAUGCUUCAAGAAUUAGGCUUGGGUGUGUAUUAAUGCAACACGGCAAGGUUAUAGCCUAUGCUUCUAGGCAACUCAAAAAUCAUGAAAUGUUUUUCCAACACAUGACUUAGAACUGGCGGCAGUGGUUUUUGCAUUGAAAAUUUAGCAUCACUCUUUGUAUGGAGUCCAUGUGGAGGUAUUCACGGACUACAAGAGUCUUCAAUAUAUUUUCAAACAAAAGGAGCUGAAUCUGAGGCAAAGAAUAUGGCUUAAGUUACUCAAGGAUUACGACAUCGAUAUUCUAUAUCACCCGGGGAAAGCCAAUGUUGUGGUGGAUGCUCUUAGCCGAAAAUCUAUGGGUAGUUUAGCACACUUGGAGGUGUAUCAAAGGCUAUUGGCCAAGGAAGUCCAUCGAUUGGCUAGUUUGGGAGUUCGUCUUACGAACACUAAUGAAGGAGGGGUAAUUGUGCAAAAUAGGGCUGAAUCAUCGCUUGUUGUGGAGGUCAAAGAGAAGCAAUACAACGAUCCAUUGUUGGUACAGCUGAAGAAGGAGAUUCAAAAAAGGAGAUUCAAAAACAUAAAACUAUGGCUUUUACUCUUGGCAUGGAUGAUGGUACACUAAGGUACCAAGGGCGACUAUGUGUUCCAAAUAUAGAUGGUCUCCGGAAAAGAAUCAUGACCGAGGCUCACGCUUCUAGGUAUUCCGUGCAUCCAGGUUCUACAAAGAUGUAUCAUGAUCUCAAGGAAGUCUGUUGGUGGAAUGACAUGAAAAGGAAUGUGGCGGACUAUGUGGCAAGGUGUCCGGACUGUCAACAAGUGAAGGCCGAACAUCAACGGCCUGGUGGGUUGACACAGAACAUAGAAAUUCCAAUGUGGAAGUGGGAGAUGAUCAAUAUGGAUUUUGUGGUAGGAUUACCACGCACUCCGUGCAAGUUUGACUCAAUUUGGGUGAUCGUGGACCGACUCACGAAAUCAGCACACUUCUUGCUAGUUAAAUCUACCGACACAACGGAACAAUAUGCUUAGUUGUAUAUCAAGGAAAUAGUUGGGCUUCAUGGCACUCCAGUUUCUAUCAUUUCCGAUCGAGGGGCUCAGUUCACGGCCAAAUUUUGGAAGAAAUUUCAGCAAGGUUUGGGUACUCAGGUGAAUCUUAGUAUAGCUUUUCAUCCACAGAUCGCCGGGCAAGCAGAGCGGACUAUUCAGACGCUAGAGGACAUGUUGGGUGCUUGAUUUCAAGGGUAGCUGGGAUGAUCAUUUGCCACUCAUAGAGUUUGCUUAUAACAACAGCUUUCAUGCAAGUAUUCAGAUGGUACCAUUUGAGGCAUUAUAUGGUAGGAGAUGUAGAUCUCCCAUUGGGUGGUUCGAGAUUGGGGAAGCAGAGUUGAUAGGGCCAGACCUUGUACAUCAGGCUAUGGAAAAAGUUAAGAUCAUAAAGGAGCGGUUAAAAACUACUCAGAGUCGUCAAAAAUCCUAUUCGGAUGUCUGUCGCAGAGACUUAGAGUUCAAAGAAGAUGAUUGGGUAUUCUUGAAGGUUUCCCCCAUAAAGGGUAUUAUGCGGUUUGGGAAAAAGGGAAAAUUGAGUCUGAGGUAUGUCGGGCCAUACAAAAUCACCCAAAGGAUCGGUGAGGUAGCGUACAAGCUUGAGCUACCACCCGAGAUGUCAUUAGUGCUCCCGGUAUUCCAUGUGUCUAUGUUGAAGAAGGUAGUUGGAGAUCCGUCAGCUAUUGUGCCGGUUGAGACCAUUGAGGUUAAUGAAGAAUUAUCAUAUGAAGAAAUUCCAGUUGCUAUUCUUGAUAGACAAGUCCGAAUAUUGAGGAAUAAAGAAAUUGCCUCCGUGAAAGUCUUAUGGUGAAACCAGCAGGUUGAAGAGGCCACUUGGGAGGCCGAGGAAGAGAUGAAGAAUAAGUAUCCUUACUUAUUUGAAUAGCUGUGUAAUCCUUUCUUUUUAUGAACAUGUCGCCUAUGAAUUUUGUAUCACUUGUUCAGUUAAUGUAAAAGUGUUACUUUUGAUUAUAUAUUGUUUACAUGAGGCCACGGUUGGUAUUGUUAUGAGUUUGUUAUGUCGUUAGGUUGUGCAUAUAUUUGUAAUAUGUGUUUCUGGGGCUCUCUGACAGGUGGAUAAGGCCUAGAAACAAAGGAAACUCUGGCGAAAGUUUUGAAAAUUUGGGGAGUUAGUUAAAUUUGGGGUUGCUGGUGUAGGGUAUGAAAAAACAAAGUUGAAUAAGGUGAUAAUAGCAGACCCUGAUCCUCAUUCGAGGAUGAAUGAUCUUAAUUGGGGGAGGAUGUAAGGCCCCGUAAAUUUUUUUCCUAAAAACUCGAGUUCCGUGAUGCCAAAGUAGGAACAGUGUGCUGGGAGUUGAAGGAAAAUGUUGGGUAGAAGUACGCAUUUCUGCGGCCUAUUCUGCAGUUGCAGAACCACUCUGCGGACCGCAGACUGGUCGUAGAGUGGGGCAGAUUUCUGGGGCAUUUUUGAUGCCCAAUUUUGCGAACAUUAUGCGAUCGCAUAACCGUUUCACGGGCCGCAUUCUUGUCGCAUAUCCCGUUUGGGAAUUUUUGGAGGGAGGUUCUGCGGUGCACUAUGCGACCGCAGAACCGUUCUGUAGUGCAUUAUGCGAUCGCAGAAUAGGUCUGCGGGCCGCAUAGUGACCACAGGCCAGAUCAAUUCCUUUCCAGUUCUGGCCCUAUUUUCGCGGUCAUUUCGCGUACCGCAUAACCAUUAUGCGGUCGCAUAUGCGACCGCAGAACCCGUUCCAAAGCUUCAUUUUUGGGGUUUUUAAGCCCGACCCUAUUCCGUUAAAACACACCCCAUAGACCAUUUUGAGCACAUUUCUGAUAUUUUAGAGUGAGAGGGAGAGUUCUUAGAGCGGGGGAGCAAUCUUUAACCAUUAUCCAUCAAUUCUUGCUCAAUCAUUGAGGAUUAACAAAGGGAGUCUUCACCCAAAAGGUAAGAAUCUAUGUCCCAACUCUCAAUUUCGAAAUUUUGCAAAAAUGGGGUAAUUAGAGUAGAUAUUAUUGGGUGUGGGGUUUGUUGUCUUGCAUGCAUGUAUCCUUGAAGUAUGUGGGAAGGUUGUGAGCUAAAAAUGGCAGAGAGUGGGUUGUGAAAUAAUGGAAUCUUCCACAAGAAGGGGCUUAGAACAUUGAUGCGUGCACCUAGUGUUUGAUAAUAUGUUCGAAUGAGCUAAAACAAUGUUCAUUUUCCUAAUUUCGGUCCAACUUGUUAUAUUUCUAAAAUAGAUUGAAGUAGCUAAGAAUUCCGGAUCAUUUUAGAGUUUGAGAAGCUCAAUUGAGGUAUGUUGGCUAAACCCCCUUCUUCUUAGAAUAGAACUCCACGGUGUUCCUGUAAUUGGAGUAAACCAUUGAUCGUUAUAGAAUUGGUGAUUUCUAUGUGUUUGUGUUGAAGGAUGUAAGUUCAAUCUUUAUUCUAAAUGCUUCAUCAUGUUAUCUUAUUAUGUGAGGAUGUGUUCAAAAUGUGGAAUAUGUGCUACCAAAGUUAAGACUUCAUGUCAAGACCAAAAUAAAGGUUGUUAUGCCAAACGGUAUGAAAAGCCUCUAUGUGCCUAAGACUCCCAAAUUGCUCAUAUGUGAAUUUAACGUCUUGAAUGGGUAGUCUUAUUGUCGUUGAUAAUAAUAAUGUUGGAAUGUGAAAAAGAACUUGAAUUAUGAAAUACGGCCUAGCGCCAAGAAUUACUUUAUAAUUGAGUCCACUCGUGCCAUUGUAUUGAAAGUAUGGGAAAGAAAUAUGAAUUGAGAUGACUGAUUGAAUAUGGGUGAUAUCUCAAAUGAGAUGACCUAGCCGAUCGGGCCGAGAUCGGACUCCGUAUAUGAACACGGUGGUAUUGUGGAUGAAAUUAUGAAAAUGGUUGAUGUCUCAAAUGAGAUGGCGUAGCCAAUCGGGCCGUGAUCGAAUGCCAUGCCGCACACAUGGUGGCACUAUACUGGAAAUUAUAAUAAAAUUGUGGUAAUGUCUCAAAUGAGAUGGCGUAGCCGAUCGGGCCGAGAUCGGACUCCGUGUAAGAAUACUGAGGUAUUGUGAAUUGUGGAAUAUCGGUACUAAAGGUCACCCAACCUAAUAAUAUGGAAAUUGUCUUGAAAACGUAUAUGAUCCUUAACUUGUUGUUUUACUAUUAUUUGAAACCCUUAUUGAAUUCUUGACCGUUCCUCUUCUAUUAUUAUUCGUUCUAUUGAGUUGGCGUUUAGCUUUACAUAUUAGUGCUAUUCAACGAUACUAACGUCCCUUUUGCCGGGGGUGCUGUAUUUUUAAAUGGAUCCAGGUGGCACAUAGCAGACAACGUUAAUCACAGAUAGUGAUGCAUCCUCUUCUCAGCAGACUCGGCGAGACCCAUUUCAUUCCGGGGUCAUGUAUUGUACCUUUUGUUUAUGUUAUGGUCACUUUUUGAGGUAUAGCCGGGGUCUUGUUGCCGGCACCAUCUUUACUCUCUUUUGUAUCUUUAGAGGCUCUGUAGACACUAUGUGGGUUGUGUAUGGGUGUUGGGAAUGUUAAACAAGUAUAUGUUGUGUUGAUCACUUGUUCCUCUCAGACUUUAAGAAAUGUGUAUUUUGAUACUUAAAUGCGCAAUGACUAAUGAAACAAUUUAGGAUUGUAUAAAUGAGCUUCCUACGGUAUAAUUAAUGAAAUCACCUUUUUUCUUGAUCAUGGGUUAAUUGGGUAGAAAGUAUCUAACAGGCUUGCUCGGCCGGGUUCACUCGGUUGAGCACCGAUCGCGCCUCCCGAUGAUGGGGCGUGACAGGUUAUGACCCCAGAAGCGGUUGGGAGGCUUAGUGGACUCCGCAGAUGAGAGGGCCUGACCGCAAAAGCGGUGCCACAACAGCGGAUAAUAUGACCGCAGAAGUGAGAAGCCUGGGCAGUAUUUAAAACCGAAGGGCUUCGUGAUUUUUGUCAUUUUGGACUUUGCAAACUCGGUCAAGGGCGAAUGUUGAGAGCAUUUUCGAGGAAUUUCUUGAGGUACUUCCCUUGUGCUUAUUUUUGAUCAAUAAUCUUGCUUCCCCAUUUAUUUUCCCACAUAGUUAGUGUGUAUUUAAGGUGGAAAUUGGGAGUAAGAGGUUAGGGAUUUGGUGAGUUGAUUUGAGAAAUUGAGUGGCGAUUUGGUGUCGGAUUUUGGUAAUUUUAUAUGGGUGAACUCGUGGUCGAGUGGGUGUUCGUAUUUUGUGACUUUUGCCCGAUUCCGUGAUGUGGGCCCGGGUCGACUUUUUUGGCCGAAUUUUCGAUUCUUUGCUAAAGUCGUAGAUUUAUUAUUUAAAUUAGUUUCUCGUAAUUGUAUUCAUGAUAUGUAAUUGCUUUUGGCUAGAUUUGAGCCAUUCAGAGUCGGAAAAUCGAGGGAAAGGCAUCCUUAUCGAUUGAUUGAGCGAGAUUUGAGGUAAGUCGCUUGUUUAACAUUGUGUGGGGGAAAAAUUCCCUUAGGAUUGGUACUGUUGUAAUAAUUUGUGAUAUGUGUGCGCCGUGUACGUGAGGUGACGAGUGCGUACACGGGUUGAUUAUGGAAAAUUAUGUUCUUGCUGAUUUGCCAUCUUUUGAAUUCGUUAACUGAGUUGUCUCCUUUUAAAAUUUAUUUACUGAGUUGCCUUAGCAUAUGUAGUUAUCAUGUUUAGCCUAGUAUCGCAUGUCUAUGUGCCUUAACUCUUACUUGCAAUUUGUGCAACAUGCUUAGUUUUAUUACCCGUUUUCCUUGAUUUGGAUUAAAUCUUUAACUGUAAGAUUCUUGCUGAACAUUCGUGUUUUCCUUCGAUUACCUGUUGUAUAUUUACUUUGGGACUACUAGACGGUUCCUCAGGAGAUCCCCCUAUACUGCAUAUUUACUUUGGGACUACGAGGCGUUUACUCGGGAGAUCCCCCUGUACUGAAUAUUUACUUUGGGACUACGAGGCAUUUAUUGGGGAGAUCCCGCUGUAUUGCAUAUUUACUUUGGGGUUACGAGGCGGUACCUCGGGAGAUCCCCCUGUCUUGCAUAUUUACUUUGGGACUACGAGGUGGUACCUCUGAAGAUCCCCCUGUCAUGCAUAUUUACAUUUGGGACUACGAAGCGGUACCUCGGGAGUGCCCCUGUUGUUUACUUCUAUUUACCGUGCUGAUAUUUUCUUAAACUUCUUGUUGUUAAAAUUCUCAGUUAUUUAAAAAUAUUAUUACAUCUUCUGCCUUAUUUUUCUUUUAAACCAAUAGAGUCCUGACAUGGCCUCGUCACUACUCUACCGAGGUUAGGCUUGGCACUUACUGGGUACCGUUGUGGUGUACUCAUACUACACUUCUGCAUAUUAUUUUGUGCAGAUCCAGGUUCUUCCCACCAGACGAGAUACCAGUGAGUUGGACCGCACGUGGAGACUUCAAGUUACAUCUGCCAGCAUCCGCAUACCUCGGAGCCCCACUCUAUCCUUAAUAUGUUGUUUUUCCUUAUUUUCUUUAGACUCUGAUGUAUAAUGACACCUAGUAUUUGCUUUUAGAAGCUUGUGACUUGUUUCCACAGGGUGUUGGGAGUUGUAAUUCUUGAAUGGCA